rnacentral:rRNA from 1 species
CCUACGGGUGGCUGCAGUCGAGAAUCAUUCACAAUGGGGGAAACCCUGAUGGUGCGACGCCGCGUGGGGGAAUGAAGGUCUUCGGAUUGUAAACCCCUGUCAUGUGGGAGCAAAUUAAAAAGAUAGUACCACAAGAGGAAGAGCCGGCUAACUCUGUGCCAGCAGCCGCGGUAAUACAGAGGUCUCAAGCGUUGUUCGGAAUCACUGGGCGUAAAGCGUGCGUAGGCUGUUUCUUAAGUCGGGUGUGAAAGGCGCGGGCUCAACCCGCGGACGGCACAUGAUACUGCGAGACUAGAGUAAGGGAGGGGGAAGCGGAAUUCUCGGUGUAGCAGUGAAAUGCGUAGAUAUCGAGAGGAACACUCGUGGCGAAGGCGGGUUCCUGGACAUUAACUGACGCUGAGGCACGAAGGCCAGGGGAGCGAAAGGGAUUAGAUACCCCAGUAGUC